UGCUGCUGAAAGAUGCAGUUCUUCGAUUACAGUUUCCUUUCCCAGCAAUCCUUGAUGUUUGAUCUCUAUUUGUUUUCCGUUGACGAACUGAUUGUUAUUUUAUGAUGUGAAAUAAGUGGUCGGUUAUGGAAAGUAGUGAAUCCGGCACGUCGAUAGAAGGGCAGGCAAUGUGAGGUUUGGAGCACACUUUUUAGGAACGUGAGCAAGAACGACAUUUUCAGUGCAAAAAAUCAACGAAAUCUUUUAUACGAAGUUGUUUACGGCGCAACAACGAUUAGUACGAGAACCUGUAUUUUGCCAAGAUGUUGAAUUAAUAACAUCAUGUAAAGUGGUGAGCAACGUUCACGAAAUCAUUCGUGCGGUAGUGUAUAUACUCGUGAAGUUUGUGAUUGUGAUCAAUAGCGUCCACGAAGACGAGUGAGAACUUUAUAAAUUGUGGUGCAGAAAAUGUACUGAAUACACAAUGUUCUAGAAUAUUCAUAUUGUUUGGCGGCAGAACAAAAGAUGAAUACAUAAUUUAAUGGUG